GUCUGGAACUAUCUGCACUCGGGAGACGACGCUCGGCCGUGAGACUCGGGGCGCGUGGACGCCGCGGCCUCGUGCUCCGUGUUUUUGUGGGUGGGAUUGUAACGGAACCCAUAAUGCAGCUGUGAUCCAGAGGCCCCAGCUGGUUAUGGCGUCCGUUUCCAUCCCACGACGCACAACACUUCCUUCAUCCCUUCAUCCCCUCGUGUCUUUCAUCCUCCGUGUCUGCAGCUCAUUCUGUGUCUUUAUUGUUCGGUUAAAGGUUUAGAAACAGCAGCAGGAGGAGGAACAGAAAGAAAAGUGGCUUCGGUUUAAGUUUCUUCGUCAGAGAGAAAACGAAAGCCAGAGGAUAAUAAAAUGCUGAGGUUUUUAAAGUGUCGUGUUGUCGUGUGAUCCGUGGACGCACGGACGCGUCCGACGCUGGUGUUUCUUUCCUCAAUGACACGUUUUCUCCCGGAUUGCUGGCGACUUUUUAAACGCAACCGGGAAUUUCGUGUCAGCCAAGAAUGACACCCAAUGACACCCAGAGCCACAGCGAGGGUUCACCCGCGCCACUGUGAUUUUAUUCAGAUAUAAAGAAUAUAUUCUAAUAAACAUCUUUAAACCGUCA